rnacentral:rRNA from 1 species
UACGUAGGGGGCAAGCGUUGUCCGGAAUCAUUGGGCGUAAAGCGCGCGUAGGCGGCUCGGAAAGUCGGGCGUGAAAUGCCGGGGCUCAACCCCGGGACUGCGUCCGAUACUUCCGAGCUGGAGGUAGGUAGGGGAGAUCGGAAUUCCUGGUGUAGCGGCGAAAUGCGCAGAUAUCAGGAGGAACACCGGUGGCGAAGGCGGUUCUCUGGGCCUUACCUGACGCUGAGGAGCGAAAGCGUGGGGAGCGAACAGG